AGAGUUUGAUCCUGGCUCAGAACGAACACUGGCGGCGUGGAUUAGGCAUGCAAGUCGAACGAGAAAGUUUCCUUCGGGAGACGAGUACAGUGGCGAACGGGUGAGUAACGCGUGGGAAAUCUGCCCUUUAAUGGGGGAUAACAGUUCUAACGAACUGCUAAUACCGCAUAAGCCCUCUAGGUCGCAUGACCCGGAGGGGAAAGAUGGCCUCUACAUGUAAGCUGUCGUUGAAGGAUGAUCCCGCGUCCCAUUAGCUUGUUGGUGGGGUAAAAGCCUACCAAGGCGACGAUGGGUAGCCGGCCUGAGAGGGUGUCCGGCCACACUGGGACUGAGAUACGGCCCAGACUCCUACGGGAGGCAGCAGUCGAGAAGCUUCCGCAAUGGGGGAAACCCUGACGGAGCGACGCCGCGUGAGUGAAGAAGGCCCUAUGGGUUGUAAAGCUCUGUCAGAUUGGGAAGAAAACUCUACGGGUAAUAUCCGUAGAGCUUGACGGUACCAUCAGAGGAAGCACCGGCUAACUCCGUGCCAGCAGCCGCGGUAAUACGGAGGGUGCAAGCGUUGUUCGGAUUCACUGGGUAUAAAGGGUGCGCAGGCGGCCCAAUAAGUCAGAGGUGAAAUAUGACGGCUCAACCGUCAAACGGCCCCUGAAACUGUUGGGCUUGAGUUCGAGAGAGGUAGGUGGAAUUCCAGGUGUAGCGGUGAAAUGCGUAAAUAUCUGGAGGAACACCGGUGGCGAAGGCGGCCUACUGGCUCGAUACUGACGCUCAGGCACGAAAGCAUGGGGAGCGAACGGGAUUAGAUACCCCGGUAGUCCAUGCCGUAAACGAUGGGUACUAGGUGUUGGGGGAGUCUACCCCCUCAGUGCCGCAGCUAACGCAUUAAGUACCCCACCUGGGGAGUACGAUCGCAAGGUUGAAACUCAAAGGAAUUGACGGGGGCCCGCACAAGCGGUGGAGCAUGUGGUUUAAUUCGAUGCAACGCGAAGAACCUUACCUGGGCUUGACAUGCAGGGGACAGGUAUAGAAAUAUACCCUUCUUCGGACUCCUGUACAGGUGCUGCAUGGCUGUCGUCAGCUCGUGUCGUGAAAUGUUGGGUUAAGUCCCGCAACGAGCGCAACCCUUGUCUUUAGUUGCCAUCAGGUAAUGCUGGGGACUCUAGAGAGACUGCCGGUGACAAACCGGAGGAAGGUGGGGACGACGUCAAGUCAUCAUGGCCCUUACGCCCAGGGCUACACACGUGCUACAAUGGCUGGUACAAUGGGCUGCAAUACAGUGAUGUGGAGCGAAUCCCAAAAAGCCAGCCUCAGUUCGGAUCGUAGUCUGCAACUCGACUACGUGAAGUUGGAAUCGCUAGUAAUCGCGUAUCAGAACGACGCGGUGAAUACGUUCCCGGGCCUUGUACACACCGCCCGUCAAGUCAACCGAGUUGGUUGCACCCCAAGUCGCUGAGCUAACCCGUAAGGGAGGCAAGUGCCCAAGGUGUGAUUGGCGAGGGGGACUAAGUCGUAACAAGGUA
rnacentral:rRNA from 1 species